rnacentral:rRNA from 1 species
UACAGAGGGUGCAAGCGUUGUCCGGAAUCACUGGGCGUAAAGGGCGCGUAGGCGGCCUGAUAAGUCGGGGGUGAAAUUCUGCGGCUUAACCGCAGGACGGCCUUCGAGACUGUCGGGCUUGAGCACGGUAGAGGCUGGUGGAAUUCCCGGUGUAGCGGUGGAAUGCGUAGAGAUCGGGAAGAACAUCGGUGGCGAAGGCGGCAUCCUGGACCGGUAUUGACGCUGAGGCGCGAAAGCCAGGGGAGCAAACGGG